GACGAGGGGUCCGAGCGUUGUCCGGAAUUAUUGGGCGUAAAGAGCUCGUAGGCGGUUUGUCGCGUCUGCCGUGAAAGUCCGGGGCUCAACUCCGGAUCUGCGGUGGGUACGGGCAGACUAGAGUGAUGUAGGGGAGACUGGAAUUCCUGGUGUAGCGGUGAAAUGCGCAGAUAUCAGGAGGAACACCGAUGGCGAAGGCAGGUCUCUGGGCAUUAACUGACGCUGAGGAGCGAAAGCAUGGGGAGCGAACAGG
rnacentral:rRNA from 1 species